ACCGAAGCUCGUAACCGCCUCCGGGCGUGACGGGCGGCUGGUAUCCUCCUUUCGAGGGGUGUAUGGCGCAGCGUGGGCCGGCUUUCGGGUCGUGGAAUUCCCAAUGCUGUGGCGGACCACCCCUUGGGCAACUCAGUGGGGGCAAUUGGAUCGCCCGCGGGUGCCUUUGGCGGCUUCGGCCCCGGGGGUAUCCCGGGCUGGGCACCGGGCUUCGGCUGGGUGUCCGGACCUCUUAACUAAUCCUGACCCUUUUUCAUUGAGGGGUGCCGGUGGCCCCUCGCCCUUCGGGGUGGGGAUAACCUUCCCGGUUAAGAUAGUUACCUGGUUGAUUCUGCCAGUAKUCAUAUGCUUGUCUCAA
rnacentral:misc_RNA from 1 species